UACGAGGGGGGCAAGUGUUGUUCGGAAUCACUGGGCGUAAAGGGCGCGUAGGCGGCCUGCUAAGUCGAUCGUGAAAUCCCCGGGCUUAACCCGGGAACUGCGACCGAUACUGGUUGGCUUGAAUUCGGGAGAGGGAUGCGGAAUUCCAGGUGUAGCGGUGAAAUGCGUAGAUAUCUGGAGGAACACCGGUGGCGAAGGCGGCAUCCUGGACCGGCAUUGACGCUGAGGCGCGAAAGCCAGGGGAGCAAACGGG
rnacentral:rRNA from 1 species